UCUCCGUUGGUGAACCAGCGGAGGGAUCAUUACUGAGUUUACGCUCUAUAACCCUUUGUGAACAUACCUAUAACUGUUGCUUCGGCGGGUAGGGUCUCCGUGACCCUCCCGGCCUCCCGCCCCCGGGCGGGUCGGCGCCCGCCGGAGGAUAACCAAACUCUGAUUUAACGACGUUUCUUCUGAGUGGUACAAGCAAAUAAUCAAAACUUUUAACAACGGAUCUCUUGGUUCUGGCAUCGAUGAAGAACGCAGC
rnacentral:misc_RNA from 1 species